UUAAAUGGCGCGGUAUUUUGACCGUGCUAAGGUAGCAUAAUCAUUUGUUCUUUAAUUGAGAGCUAGAAUGAACGGUCGGAUGAAAAAUAACUGUCUCUAUUUAAUUUAUAUAGAAUUUUAUUUUUAAGUUAAAAAGCUUAAAUUUUCUUUAAAGACGAGAAGACCCUAUAGAGUUUUAUCUAUAAUUAUAAUUAAUAUAUUUUAGUAUUAAUAUAGUUAAUUUAAUUAUAGUUUUAGUUGGGGUGAUUGAAAAAUUUAAUUAACUUUUUUUAUUUUUUUACAUAGAUUUAUGAAUAAAUGAUCCAAUAUUUUUGAUUAUAAGAUAAAGUUACCUUAGGGAUAACAGCGUAAUUUUUUUUGAGAGUUCUUAUCGAAAAAAAAGAUUGCGACCUCGAUGUUGGAUUAAAAUUGAUUUUUGGUGCAGGAGCUAAAAUAUUAAGUCUGUUCGACUUUUAAAAUUUUACAUGAUCUGAGUUUAAACCGGCGUAAGCCAGGUUGGUUUCUAUCUUGAAUUAUUUGUAAUAUUUUAGUACGAAAGGAUUAAAUAUUAAAUAAAAUAUUUUUAUUUAGAAUAGAAUUGUUAUUUUGGCMGAAUAGUGCARUUGAUUUAGAAUCUUUUUAUAUAAGAUUUAUCUUAUAAAUAAUAAUUGAUAUAUAUAGAUAUGGUUUUAUGCUUAAUAAGAAGAAUUAUUUUAUUAGUAUGUGUAUUGAUUAGUGUAGCUUUUUUAACUUUAUUGGAACGGA
rnacentral:rRNA from 1 species